rnacentral:tRNA from 1 species
GAGGGUGUAGCUCAGUGGUAGAGUGCGUGCUUAGCAUGCACGAGGUCCUGGGUUCAAUCCCUAGCCCCUCU